UCUCUCUCUUUAUUGACGGAUUUAAAGGCAGCAAUAAUCUCCUGUUCUGCUGAAAAAUAUUUCCUGUCUCAGACUCAAACGGAGUCGAUACCAAAGCAGAGAUCAGAGCGGCGGUGAGAAACACUGUCGCCUCCUUCGACACACAUGUGCAAUACAGGUCACAGGAUUUACCACAAACGUGCACAAACACACACACACGUGCACGUGCAGGAUGAGGAUCCCAUUUCAUCUCAAUCACCUGCGAGUUUAUCGACCCAGGUGCGUCCUCCUUUCCUCCUUCCUUUCAUUUAUUUUGCUUUUUUCAGGUAUUGAUUUGAAUAUCGGAGCGUUUGAGACGAAGAUCAUAUUCAGGGUUCGACCAUUCGUGUCCUUCUGCAUCCAUCUGCUGCUCCUCCCCGUCUUUAGUGGAUUUCUCACCUUCUCAUGAGUUUAUUUAGAGGACUGUUCUAGAUUCUCCUGCUCAGCAUGUUAGCGUCUCUUUCCUACGAUCCACUCAGAGUGCUUUUAUAACAAAUCCACCGUUUAUAUUCACAUUUACACACUGACAGUAGAAGCUGCUGUACAAACACACUGUCUAAUCCCAUUCACAUAAACCCGCACAGGGCUGUUUCACCACUGGGAGCACUGGUCCAAGGACAUGUAGACAUGUGACGGAGGUCGAACCGCCAAACCCUCCGUCUGAGGGGUCAGGACUGAAACUGUUCAGAUGGAUCCAGUCUUGGACUCUGGAGAUCUAAUGUCUAAAGAGAGCUAGUUCAGACAGGCUACUUAGUCCAGAUCAGUUCACAGUGCAUCAGCUGACGACUCGGCCUGUUUCUCUGUUUAGACCUGAACUUUAACCUUCAGUACAUGAUGUCGUAUAAAUCGUAACUGCAGAGAGUCUUUGCUGCUGCUCCCCCCGCCUCGAUUUUAAAUACAUGCACAUUAAACAGGCUGAAGGUGUUCUCUUCCUGCUUUGGCUUUUCAUUAAGAUCGGAGUUCCCCUCCUGCUGCAGAAGUAAAGUCAAAGUCUUACGGGGCGUUCACAUCAAGCGCAAGUAAAAUCAUCAACGCAAAUGAUUUGUGCGUCAACAGAGUGAUUAAAAGCCGUGGAUUACUGUUUAUAUUCAUUUCAACAGAUUCUUACCAAUUCAACCUGCAGGAUCAAGUUAUAAACAACAGUUUUUAACAAUUUACCAGAUUAUCCGACCUCCUUACUCUCUUUCCUCCAGACGAGCUCCUUUUUAUUCCUGUUUUACGAGAGACACGAGACGUACAUGGAUACGAGAGAGAG